AGAAAUGAUGAAGAAAAGAAAAGAAAAUAUUUAAAUAUUUAAUUCUUAACGUUACUAUCAUCCUAUAAUCAUUCUUUAAUAUCGAUUUCACUUCUUCGUGUUUUAUCAUCCAUGAGAAUCCUUUUAAUUUUGUGCAUGAGAGAGAGAGAGAGAGAGAGAGAGAGAGAGAGAGAGAGAGAGAGAGAGAAAGAGAGAGUAGAUCUUGAGAUAUUAGAAUUUGCGGUGUAAUUCACGUUGACGAUGAACCUAGAUAAGACGUUUAACGAAGACGUGCCUAAGGAAGAUAAUAGGAAGUGUCUGGAUAUAGGAGAGAGCUUCGUUGGGUGCUCGAGGCGACCAGUUUUGUUGAACCAGAUAAGGCUCACGCUAGAGUCACGUUAAGAUCCCGAUCAGGUUGGCACGUGCACCUUACCGAGAGCCGCCAUUCGUCUACCCUGACUUCGAGGGCUUCGUCUUUCGAAGGAAUAAAAAGGAGAGUGAGAGAGAAUGGUGGAGGAAAGAAGAUGAAGAGUGAGAAGCGAGAGGGUAAAGGUGGUCUAAGAAAAAAGGAAAAAAAGAAAAGGAAGAAAAAAUCGAAUUACCUCUCGAGACUACUCGGAGAUAAUCGCUUGAAGAUAUCCGACACACUCUACUCUCUUUACUACGACCUAUCGUCUGCCAAAUCUUCGAGCAGACACGUGAGACAAGAAGGAAGAGAACGUGCCGUUGAUAUAUCUUCAUCGAAUUACUCUUUCCUCUAUAAGUAAUAUCUACCGAACAUCCGCUUUCCAAUGGUAUCGUAACUCUUAAAGAUCCAGUCAAUCUUUUUGUAUCUUUAAAAAAGGAAUAAGAACAUAAGGAUGGUUCUUCUCUUUUCAAAGAAUAUAUCUUAUAAGGAAUAAAUUGCAAGGAAUAAUUUUUACUCCAGGAAAGAUUUAUCUUUGAGAUAACAUGAUCGUAUGUUGGUUCGACGUUGAUUAUUAUACAAGUUUAAAUGUUUAAAGACUUUUUGUUUUCUUUAUAAUGUAAAAAGAUAUUAAAAUAUUAAACACUUGUAUGUGUAAA